rnacentral:rRNA from 1 species
CCUACGGGAGGCUGCAGUGGGGAAUAUUGGGCAAUGGGCGCAAGCCUGACCCAGCGACGCCGCGUGAAGGAAGAAGGCUUUCGGGUUGUAAACUUCUUUUGUCAGGGACGAAGCAAGUGACGGUACCUGACGAAUAAGCCACGGCUAAAUACGUGCCAGCAGCCGCGGUAAUACGUAGGUGGCAAGCUUUAUCCGGAUUGAUUGGGUGUAAAGGGCGUGUAGGCGGGAAUGCAAGUCAGAUGUGAAAACUAUGGGCUCAACCCAUAGCCGGCAUUUGAAACUGUAUUUCUUGAGUUCUGGAGAGGCAAUCGGAAGUCCGUGUGUAGCGGUGAAAUGCGUAGAUAUACGGAGGAACACCAGUGGCGAAGGCGGAUUGCUGGACAGUAACUGACGCUGAGGCGCGAAAGCGUGGGGAGCAAACAGGAUUAGAUACCCCAGUAGUC